rnacentral:piRNA from 1 species
UUUUCAGAUCCAUGGCAGCCA